GUCUAACUUUGCAGACAACAUGUCUACCUCCUUGAGCUGAUGCAUACCUCCACCUCUCUUGCGUGUCUGGGUCCUCUCUUCAUUCCAGCCUCGGUUGGACCCCAUCUUUUCCACAAGAGCUGUAGCUUGUGAUAUGGUGAGUGAUAAGAAUGCUCCUCUAGCUGCAGCAUCCAUGGUCUCUCAGGCACCGCCCCCUUUUCCCUUUUCUAUUUUUUUUUAAUUUCUUUUCUCAAACUCCUUUUUAAAAUCAUUUGGACCACUUUAAAAUCAUUUUCACCUUUUUCUCCCAAAAGCAAAGUUGUUCCAAAACAAAAACCCUACAACUUUGUUUGAAUAAGCAAGACCAAAUUCCAAAUAGAAUUUGAAUUACAAAUUAAAACUAGUUCUAGGUUCUCAAAUAAAUUCAUUUUGGGGAUUUUUGUAUAAAUUCCAUUUCUCAAAUUCUAUGGCUCCAAAAAUUGCACAAAAAUAUUCUUAAAUCUUCUUACACAUAAAUCAACCUAUCUUGAAUAUUCCACAAUUUUAGAAGCAAGCACCCUAUUUUUAACAUAUUUAAAGCACAUGGAAUAAAACACAUAAAAUCACAUUUUGGGAUGAAUGACAUGCUCAUGAUGCUAUGCUUGAUGAGAAUGCUUAUGAAUGUUUUGAUAAGGCUAAGUGCAUGCUUAACACCUAGGGUGUUACAGAUUCUAAUCCUUCCGGUUGUGAUGGUAUAUCGGGGUUAGUAGUAGGAACAACAACAGCUAUUUGAUUUAACUAAGAUUCAAUCAUUUUAUUAAAGCUAAUUUGAUUCUUGAUGACAGUAGAGAAAUUAUCCAUUCCAUUAUUU
rnacentral:lncRNA from 1 species